UGGGAACGUACCUUUCAGUUCGGAAUAACCCAGGGAAACUUGGGCUAAGACCGGAUACGCCCUUUUGGGGAAAGAUUUAUCGCUGAGAGAUCGGCCCGCGUCUGAUUAGCUAGUCGGUGAGGUAAAGGCUCACCAAGGCGACGAUCAGUAGCUGGUCUGAGAGGAUGAUCAGCCACAUUGGGACUGAGACACGGCCCAGACUCCGUACGGGAGCAG
rnacentral:rRNA from 1 species